GAGUUUGAUCCUGGCUCAGGAUGAACGCUGGCGGCGUGCCUAAUACAUGCAAGUCGAGCGAACAGAUAAGGAGCUUGCUCCUUUGAAGUUAGCGGCGGACGGGUGAGUAACACGUGGGUAACCUACCUAUAAGACUGGGAUAACUUCGGGAAACCGGAGCUAAUACCGGAUAACAUUUAGAACCGCAUGGUUCUAAAGUGAAAGAUGGUUUUGCUAUCACUUAUAGAUGGACCCGCGCCGUAUUAGCUAGUUGGUAAGGUAACGGCUUACCAAGGCGACGAUACGUAGCCGACCUGAGAGGGUGAUCGGCCACACUGGAACUGAGACACGGUCCAGACUCCUACGGGAGGCAGCAGUAGGGAAUCUUCCGCAAUGGGCGAAAGCCUGACGGAGCAACGCCGCGUGAGUGAUGAAGGGUUUCGGCUCGUAAAACUCUGUUAUUAGGGAAGAACAAAUGUGUAAGUAACUGUGCACAUCUUGACGGUACCUAAUCAGAAAGCCACG
rnacentral:rRNA from 1 species